rnacentral:rRNA from 1 species
AGAGUUUGAUUAUGGCUCAGGAUGAACGCUAGCUACAGGCUUAACACAUGCAAGUCGAGGGGCUAGCAUUGGAGUAGCAAUACUUCAGAUGGCGACCGGCGCACGGGUGAGUAACACGUACUCCAACCUGCCGCUUACUCGGGGAUAGCCUUUCGAAAGAAAGAUUAAUACCCGAUGGUAUAAAGAGUUCGCAUGUUCUCUUUAUUAAAGAAUUUCGGUAAGCGAUGGGGAUGCGUUCCAUUAGAUAGUUGGCGGGGUAACGGCCCACCAAGUCUACGAUGGAUAGGGGUUCUGAGACGGAAGGUCCCCCACAUUGGAACUGAGACACGGUCCAAACUCCUACGGGAGGCAGCAGUGAGGAAUAUUGGUCAAUGGACGAGAGUCUGAACCAGCCAAAAGUAGCGUGAAGGAUGACUGCCCUAUGGGUUGUAAACUUUCUUUUAUAAGGGAAUAAAGUGAGGGACGUGUCCCUUUUUGUUAUGUACCUUAUGAAUAAGGAUCGGCUAACUCCGUGCCAGCCGCCGC